GCAGAAGUAUAUAUCAGCUAAAUAGAAAGUGUGCGCCUCAUUGUGCAUGAACUUGAAUCAAGCCCAACAAAUGUCUGUUUUAAAAA